rnacentral:rRNA from 1 species
AUUGAACGCUGGCGGCAUGCCUUACACAUGCAAGUCGAACGGCAGCACGGGUGCUUGCACCUGGUGGCGAGUGGCGAACGGGUGAGUAAUACAUCGGAACAUGUCCUGUAGUGGGGGAUAGCCCGGCGAAAGCCGGAUUAAUACCGCAUACGAUCCACGGAUGAAAGCGGGGGACCUUCGGGCCUCGCGCUAUAGGGUUGGCCGAUGGCGGAUUAGCUAGUUGGUGGGGUAAAGGCCUACCAAGGCGACGAUCAGUAGCUGGUCUGAGAGGACGACCAGCCACACUGGGACUGAGACACGGCCCAGACUCCUACGGGAGGCAGCAGUGGGGAAUUUUGGACAAUGGGCGAAAGCCUGAUCCAGCAAUGCCGCGUGUGUGAAGAAGGCCUUCGGGUUGUAAAGCACUUUUGUCCGGAAAGAAAUCCUUGACUCUAAUACAGUCGGGGGAUGACGGUACCGGAAGAAUAAGCACCGGCUAACUACGUG